CUUAGUGGCGGACGGGUGAGUAACGCGUGGGUAACCUGCCCCAUACCGGGGGAUACCACCUGGAAACAGGUGCUAAUACCGCAUAAGCGCACGGGAGCGCAUGCUCCUGUGUGAAAAACUCCGGUGGUAUGGGAUGGACCCGCGUCUGAUUAGCCAGUUGGCAGGGUAACGGCCUACCAAAGUGACGAUCAGUAGCCGGCCUGAGAGGGUGGACGGCCACAUUGGGACUGAGACACGGCCCAAACUCCUACGGAAGGCAGCAG
rnacentral:rRNA from 1 species